CAGUAGCUGAACCAUUUUACAUCCUUACUAGCAAUGUCUGAGAGUUCGAAUUUCUCCACAUUUUUGCCAACACUUCCUUUCCUUCCUUCUU